rnacentral:misc_RNA from 1 species
AUUGAAAGAGUUGCCAUUUAUGAAUUUUCAACAUUCAUAGAGAAUGGCAUGUAUAUUCGAUAAGCUAUGAUAGUGGACAAAUGAGAAGUACUAUCGUACCUUAUUUAGCUAAUCUAUGAUUCAAUAUCUCGUUGUAAUUUGCUUAAACGAGAUGAGCGAGAGAGAAUAUAUACAUCAAAACGCUCUUAAAAGACGAUUCCAGCGUAUAUUGUGUGAAUGGCAUAGUUGGAAAGAAAGAUGAGCGUGACAAUAAUGAUGUAUAUGAAAA